AGCAGCCGCGGUAAUUCCAGCUCCAAUAGCGUAUAUUAAAGUUGUUGCAGUUAAAAAGCUCGUAGUUGAAUUUCGGGAUCAAUAUGUCGGUCGUGCUCUUUGGUACGUACUGGCAUCAUUGUUCCCUCCUUUCUGACGAACCAUGAUGUCAUUCAUUUGGUGUUAUGGGGAGUUAGGACUGUUACUUUGAAAAAAUUAGAGUGUUUAAAGCAGGCAUUAGCUUGAAUACAUUAGCAUGGAAUAAUGAAAUAGGACGUUCGAUCCUAUUUUGUUGGUUUCUAGGAUCAACGUAAUGAUUAAUAGGGAUAGUUGGGGGCAUUUAGUAUUCAAUUG
rnacentral:rRNA from 1 species